UACGGAGGGUGCAAGCGUUAUCCGGAUUUACUGGGUUUAAAGGGUGUGUAGGCGGACUUUUAAGUCAGCGGUGAAAUCUCCGGGCUCAACCGGAAACUGCCAUUGAUACUAUUUGUCUUGAAUGUUGUUUGAGGUGGGCGGAACGGGUCAUGUAGCGGUGAAAUGGCAUAGAUAUGACCCGGAACACCGAUUGCGAAGGCAGCCCACUAAGCAACGAUGACGCUGAGCACGAAAGCGUGG
rnacentral:rRNA from 1 species